rnacentral:tRNA from 1 species
CGGGACGUGGCGCAGCCCGGUAGCGCACUCGCCUGGGGGGCGAGGGGUCGCAGGUUCAAAUCCUGUCGUCCCGA